UACAGAGGGUGCAAGCGUUGUUCGGAAUUACUGGGCGUAAAGCGCGUGUAGGCGGCGUCGUUAGUCGGAUGUGAAAGCCCUCGGCUCAACCGAGGAAGUGCAUCCGAUACUGCGAUGCUUGAGUGUUGGAGGGGGUGGCGGAAUUCCCGGUGUAGAGGUGAAAUUCGUAGAUAUCGGGAGGAACACCUGUGGCGAAGGCGGCCACCUGGACAACACUGACGCUGAGACGCGAAAGCGUGGGUAGCAAACAGG
rnacentral:rRNA from 1 species